GGGGGCGUGGCGCAGGUGGUAGCGCGCUGCUUUCGCAUUGCAGAGGUCAGGGGUUCGACUCCCCUCGUCUCCA
rfam:Micromonospora krabiensis strain DSM 45344 genome assembly, chromosome: I